UUUUGCCAUGUAGCAUUCUCUAAGCCUCACCCCAUCGAAUUUUUCCCGCUCCUAUCAUCGUAACUGAAUUUCCGAAAUUGCCACUCCUAAUUUUGAAAUCAAAUUCGUCUGGUAACUGAUAAGACUUUCCAAUUUGUGGCCGAGAUAUCAGCUACUGAUCACUGGAAUUUGAGACCACCAUCCUCCCUCACCAUAAACCCUAUUCUCUCCACCCUCUUUAAAAAUCUCAUCAAUCUCAGGACGUGGUUCUCAAUUUUGACACAUAUAUUAAUCUUGAAGGAAAUCCAAUUUGAUUUUCAUCUAUAUUCGUCGUCACUCAUCCUUCAACAUGAUAGAAAACAUAACCUUGUCAUCAAAGUUUUCAUCUUAGUUUUUUCUAAUAAGCAAUGUACCGUCAACAAAAACCCUAGACAUCGUCUCCGCUACUCUCUUUGAAAACCAUAGAUCCCCAACCGUCGCUGUCACCCGGGCUUCACCAUGAAAAAUAAAUCAUAAACCCACACUGUAGGUACAAUGAUCUUGCUAUGAUCAAUCCGAGAAUUCACUCUCUCAGUCAAAAGGGCCCAUAUAAGGUUAAACACAUAAUCAUUGGUGGUCCAUAUAAGGAUGAUUGAAGUGUAAUUUUUAAAGAGGAUGUUGCAAGUGUUUUUUUUUUUUUUUUUUUUUUUUUUUUUUUUUUUUAAAUUUAAACAGGGACCAUCCUUCAAAUAUUUUUAUUUAUGAGAGGGAGCAUUCCAGUAAUUUGUAUAUCAGGGAAUGAAUGGAUGAGAUUUUUUCCAAAAAAUGACAGUUAUGACACUUUUUUUUUGUCAAUUUAGUCAUUUUGAUGUUUUUUUUUGAUAAAUUUGAUUGUUAUAUUUUAUUUUUUUUAUUGUUAUUACGGAUUUACAGGCUUGAAACCUACCUAAUUGCACAAUUUUACUUUAUUCUGUUUUCCAAGUUAUUAUGGUGUUCUUUUUUUUAUUAUUAUUAUGGCAUCCUACAUUGUAAUAAACGGCAAAGUAUUAUUAUUGCAUUGUACUUUAUUUUUUUCUCCAAAUUAUUAUGGCAUUCUAUUUUUUUAUGGUAAAAAAUGGCUGUUUUGGCAUAAGGUGACAAUGGUUUAAAAAAAAGUUGAGUUUACAUGCAAAAAGAGCAUUUUAAAGCAAAUUAUUGCAUUUUAAACCAACAUUUUUAUAUCAAGUACAAUUGACUAAAAUGAGCACAUUCUUGUCAAAAUGGGACAAUUUGACAAAGUGAAAUUGGUAAAAAUAUGGCUUGUGUUGGCAUUUGGUAAAAAUUGUGUAAACCGAACAUAUUUUGGUCAAAAUGGGAUUGUUUUAGUAAGGUGAAAAUUUUGCAAAAAUUGCAUUUUCAAAGCAUUUUAUAACAAUGUACUUCUAAUAGAAAAGGUAUUUUAAUAUAAAGUAAAAAUGAAUUAAAAAUAACCAUGAUAUAGCUACAGAUUGUUGGGUUAAUCUUGAUGGU